UACGGAGGGGGCUAGCGUUGUUCGGAAUUACUGGGCGUAAAGCGCGCGUAGGCGGACCUGCAAGUCGGGGGUGAAAGCCCGAGGCUCAACCUCGGAACUGCCUCGAUACUGCGGGUCUCGAGUCCGGGAGAGGUGAGUGGAAUUCCUAGUGUAGAAGGUGAAAUUCGUAGAUAUUUAGGAAGAACACCAGUGGCGAAGGCAGCUCGCU
rnacentral:rRNA from 1 species